UUUUCCUGGAUGCUUCUAAUCCUGUCUCUGCUGUAUUACAUGCAUUUUAAAUAUGCUUUGUAUUUUCUGUAUUAUAUACCCUUGUGUUUAGGCUUUGGUGAUUUAACAGCAGACUGCUCCCCAUUGUUGGGGGAAACACUUUUUUGAAAUAAUAUUCUAGCCAUAUACAAAGUCUCUACAGCUUUCUCACAGGUGAUCUCCUAGUACGUUUAGGACUUUAUAUCCUUACACUUUAUUGUGUAAUAUUUUCUGGUUGUUUCAAUGUUAUUUAUACAAAUAAAUAUAUAGAGUAGGAUGGGACAG